ensembl:lncRNA
GGGUAGUUGUUUUCGGUUUUUGUGUCUGCACCAGACAGAACUGUUUCGGUGCCGUUGGUUCUCUUUGUUGGUUUGUUAAUCAGUGUUCAGUUCCAUGAAUAAAAGCAUGAACAUGUACCAUGCGGCACCUUGGUCCUCUCCUUCCAACGGCCGUUACAACGAGUGAAUAGAGUAGUCUUCAUUUCCUCUGGCAUACAGCCAUCAAUACUCUCUCCCAGACUGGAAUACUGGUACGAGACAGCCAUCAAUACACUCUCCCAGACUGGACUACUGGUACGAGACAGCCAUCAAUACUCUCUCCCAGACUGGAAUACUGGUACGAGACAGCCAUCAAUACUCUCUCCCAGACUGGACUACUGGUACGAGACAGCCAUCAAUACUCUCUCCCAGACUGGACUACUGGUACGAGACAGCCAUCAAUACUCUCUCCCAGACUGGACUACUGGUACGAGACAGCCAUCAAUACUCUCUCCCAGACUGGACUACUGGUACGAGACAGCCAUCAAUACUCUCUCCCAGACUGGACUACUGGUACAGGACAGCCAUCAAUACUCUCUCCCAGACUGGAAUACUGGUACGAGACAGCCAUCAAUACUGGUACGAGACAGCCAUCAAUACUCUCUCCCAGACUGGACUACUGGUACAGGACAGCCAUCAAUACUCUCUCCCAGACUGGACUACUGGUACGAGACAGCCAUCAAUACUCUCUCCCAGACUGGAAUACUGGUAUGUCUAAUAGUUGGAGGUGUGGCCCCAGACUGGACUACUGGUAUGUCUAAUAGUUGGAGGUGUGGUCCCAGAGAGGACUACUGGUAUGUCUAAUAGUUGGAGACGUGGUCCCAGAGGAGGGGAACGGUGUACAGAUGGACUGUUAUGUCACAGUACGGGUUGACGCACACAAAUAUCAUUGUGCACAUACAUACGCAUGUGUCCACACACACAGAGUCUUUGUUAAUUAGUUUGUUCCUAAUUUCACAGCCUAAACAGGCCCUGUGUGUGACUCACAGCAUAUUGUUACAUAAAUAAUACCUCUUAGUCUCUCUCUCUGACUGACGGUUGUGUUGUGAUAUAAAGUUCCUCCACCUGUCGUGGAACUCGGAAGAAAGACUUUAACCAGACCCACAGGAUUUUGUUGAGACUCAAUGUGAAUUUUGAGCAUUGCUUCUGUAGGUCUGGUCAGCCACAUCACAGCAAUACAGUUUGUGUAAGUUAAGUCUGUAACAGUAUGGUGUGUGUCAUGAUACAGUCCCGGUCUAUGAGGUCUGAAGGACAGUUGAAAGACACACUUUAAGCCCUCUGACUCUCUUUGUAUUCAGUGGUAGACCUCCACGAGUCCGUUAAUAAUUGUCCAUUGUUAAGGUGCUUUACAGGAUUUGGGCUGUUUUUGCUGACAGGGUUUUGUGGAGCUUCGUCAGCCAGUGAGAGUAGAGUGGUGCAUUCCUGCAUUCCUUCCACAAGGGGGCGACAUCAGUGACAGACGUAUAGACGAUGCAUGUUUGGUAGAGUAGGUUCACAGACAUUGUGUGUCACACAAAGACAGACGCACACACGAUACCUCUGUCCUUUUUUCAACGGUAAACAAUGUAUCAGUAUUUCUGUAUCCUAAGAAAUCACUUCAGCAUGUUUGGGUUUUCUGCAUAUAUUUCUGAGUGAAUAAUAAGGAAUUGGCUAAAUUGGCAUUCCUGACCUGCAAAACGAUAUUUAAUUUCAAAAUUGGUCAAAAUUAGGUUAAGUUUAUGGUAUGGGUUAGGAUUAGGUUCAAGGGUUUGGUUAAAGUUAGGGUUAGUCGAUUUACAGGUCAGAGGUGUCCUUAUAACCUCUCCAGAAUGAUAUGUCUUGUCUGUUUCUACCUCUCUCUGCUGUCCAAGUCACCUGAUUUCCUGUCUUCCUGUCUUUUCUUGUGUUCCUGUCUUCCUGUCUUUGUGUCUAACCGUAUUCCUGUCUUCCUGUCUUUGUGUCUGUCUUCCUGUCUUUGUGUCUUUGUCUUCCUGUGCCUUCCUGUCUUUGUGUCGAACUGUCUUCAUGUCUUCCUGUGUCUUCCGGCUUUCCUGUCUUCCUGCGCAGUAUGUACCUCACAAGAGUGUAAUCUGCUCUGCCCCGAGUGGGGCUUGAACUCACAACCUUCUCCACAAAAGCACAAGCAACUCAAAGCCAACCGUAUGUCACUAAACACACCGUAUCUUGGCAGAGGAAGAUGUCGGUGUGGAAGCAGCCGGCCCGGCUGUAUCUGUGGGCAGCACAUGUCAUGUAGGGGGAAUCCACCACACCAGAGUCUGUUGUCUCAGUGUUGUCAGCCUGUCACCAUGAAUUAUAAGUGAUUCCAGAUUGUGAUGCAACACAGAGACACAGAGCUGUAGUAGUAAGGGUCUGGUUCUCAUUAUAACAGAUAGGGAAACAACAAGGCUGGCCAACCAUCUACUCUGAGUGCUUUUGUUCCAGCCCUACACUCCUCUCACUCCCCCUUCAGUCCCCCUCUCUGUCCCUUCUCAGUCCCCUCUUACUCCCCCUUCAGUCCCCCUCUCAGUCCCAUUCAGUCCCCUCUCUGUCCCCUCUCUGUCCCCUCUCUGUCCCCUCUCUGUCCCCUCUCUGUCCCCUCUCUGUCCCCUUCAGUCCCCUCUGUCCCCUUUCAGUCUCCUCUCUGUCCCUUCUCAGUCCCCUUCAUUUCCCUCUGUCUCCUCUGUCCCCUCUGUCCCCUUUCAGUCUCCUCUCUGUCCCCUUCUCAGUCCCAUUUGUCUCCUCUCUGUCCCCUUCUCAGUCCCCUUUCAGUCUCCUCUCUGUCCCCUUCUCAGUCCCCUUUCAGUCUCCUCUCUGACCCUUCUCAGUCCCCUUUUACUCCCCCUUCAGUCCCCUCUCUGUCCCCCCUCUGCUCUCUCCUGACUGGGCAGCCUGCCUCACAGAGACCCAUUCACCCUGUAGACCACGGGAGCCUCCUCUCCUCACACACUGGAGUCAAUGAAAGACCUGCUGCCCCCUUCCACCUUCCUCUCUAACUCUAUCCCUCCCUUCCUCUUUUCCUUACCUCCAAGUUGUCAUAGAUACAUACCCCACCCUUACCUCCUUCCCUACCUUAAAGUGCUCAAACGUACCUCAUCCCACCCUUACCCCUCCCUCCACCUAUACCUCCUAGUUCUCAUACCUACAUACCCCACCCUCCCUCCCUCCACCUAUACCUCCUAGUUCUCAUACCUACAUACCCCACCCUCCCUCCCUCUAUACCUCCUAGUUCUCAUACCUACAUACCCCACCCUUACCCCUCCCUCCCUCCCUCCACCUAUACCUCCUAGUUCUCAUACCUACAUCCCUCCCUCGCUUCCCUCUCCCCUCCCUUCCCUACGUCCUGUAUUCAGUCUUCAUACCCGACCCCAAACUUACCCCCCGGCCGCCUUACCUCCCACCCUUCCUCCUUCCACCUCCCUAACACCCACCACUCCCUCUUUUCCCCACUACCCUGCCAUCUCACUGCAUUCCUCACUAGGUCAUACAGCGCUCCAUUGUGUGAGCGGGGCAGCGGGAUGGAGAGCACACAGUCAGAGCACUCACACACCAAACCCAGGAUUACCACUGGAAUCAACUUAAGAUUCCUCAAAUGGAAGCAAGCAGGUCUUCUUUUACCUCUCCUCCCAUCCUCUUUCCCUCCCUCCCUCCUCGCAUCCUCUUUCCCUCCCUCCCUCCCACCCUUCCUCCCACCCUCUCUCCUUCCUAUCCUCUCUCCCCGCCUCCCUCCCUCCCUCCCUCCCAUCCAACCACCCUCUGUCUCCCUCCCUUCCUGCCUCCCUCUGUCCCUAUCUCCCUACUAUCCUCCCUCUGCCUCCCUACCUCCCUCCUAUCCUCUCUCCCUCC